CACCAACAGAAGUUGGUCCAAUGAAAGAUAUUAUCUCAUCCACUUUGUCCUCUCUCUGCGACUGAUAUGGCUACUACACUGCAUAUACCAGGCCCUUGUCCGGCCCAGGAGUAAAUAACGAGGAAUCAUCAAAGCAAGUGGGAACAGCUUGAAACUGAAAAGAAACCCCAGUCUUCAGAAACUAAGACAGGAGAGAGUUUUCUCCACUUUGAAUAUCUGUAAUAACUGAAGAAAAAAACUGCCACCCCUUUUAAAACGGAAGGAGUUUGUACUGAAGAUCAUCCAGAAUUUGAAGGACUGUCUUGAUCCCUCCUACAGGUGCCCGGUGUGCAAACUGUGUGGAGUGUGUAUGCCAUAGUGAGCUAACUGGAAGAAUGGUUUCAUGGCUUCAGGGGUUAUGAGCCAGAGGGGAACAGUCCAAGCACCUGGUAAUUCAGAACUCAGGGAGGAUUUAUUUGGAGAGACUUGGGACCGGAGGGCUGUUGUUAUCGUCUCUGCAAAGAAUAACUACACUGGUGAAAGCCAAGGGACUGGGAGUGGCUUGCUCACUACAGAAGCAGCUUUCCCUCUCCUGAAAUUGACACCUCCUCAUGUAUUAUUGGGAGUGGACUACAUCCGUCCUGACUGAAUUGGCUCUGUCAACACUGGUUCUCCACUUGCCAGGUACUCCCUUCUCUUCACGUCAUUACAUAAUGCCUACAUUUGUAACUUUCACUCCAUGCAUCUAAAGAAAUGAGGUUUUUUACCCAUGAAAGCUUAUGUCCAAAUAAAU